GGCCGUGUGGUCUAGUAGUAUGAUACUCGCUUUGGGUGCGAGUGGUCCUGGGUUCAAUUCCCAGCUCGGCCC